AGGAAGCUUGCUUUCUCCGCCGGCGACCGGCGCACGGGUGAGUAACACGUAUGCAACCUGCCCCUGUCAGGGGGACAACCCGCCGAAAGGCGGGCUAAACCCGCGUACAUGCCACCGGGCAUCCCGGAGGCAGGAAAGGCUUCGGCCGGACAGGGAUGGGCAUGCGGCGCAUUAGGCAGUAGGCGGGGUAACGGCCCACCUAACCGACGAUGCGUAGGGGUUCUGAGAGGAAGGUCCCCCACACUGGUACUGAGACACGGACCAGACUCCUACGGGAGGCAGCAGUGAGGAAUAUUGGUCAAUGGUCGGGAGACUGAACCAGCCAAGCCGCGUGAGGGAGGAAGGUACAGAGUAUCGUAAACCUCUUUUGUCAGGGAACAAAGGCGGGGACGUGUCCCCGGAUGAGUGUACCUGAAGAAAAAGCAUCGGCUAACUCCGUGCCAGCAGCCGCGGUAAUACGGAGGAUGCGAGCGUUAUCCGGAUUUAUUGGGUUUAAAGGGUGCGCAGGCGGUCUGUUAAGUCAGCGGUCAAAGCCCGGGGCUCAACCCCGGCCCGCCGUUGAAACUGGCAGUCUCGAGUUGGAGAGAAGUAUGCGGAAUGCGCGGUGUAGCGGUGAAAUGCAUAGAUAUCGCGCAGAACUCCGAUUGCGAAGGCAGCAUGCCGGCUCCACACUGACGCU
rnacentral:rRNA from 1 species